UUCCUGGUGGCUCAAGUGGUAAAGAAUCUGCCUGCAAUGCAGGAGACCCUGGUUCAAUCUCUGGGUCGGGAAG
rfam:Ovis aries breed Texel chromosome 5, whole genome shotgun sequence.